GUGAGCAUGGCGGGCUUCGCCGACCUGAACCUGCCGCAGGGGCUGGACAAGAAGUCCCUGCAGAGCCUGCUGGAGACCGCGGCGCACCUGGGAUAUUCUGCAGUUGCACUUAAUCAUGUCAUCGAUUUUAAAGAAAAGAAACAGGAAAUCAUCAAGCCAGUAUCCCCUUCAGAGUUGUUUCCAUCUUUGCCUAUUGUACAAGGGACAUCUAAAAGAAUUAAAGUUUUGACUCGGCUUACACUUGUUGUUUCUGAUCCUUCCCACUGCAAUCUCUUGAGAUCGACAUCUGCAAAUAUAAGGUUAUAUGACAUCAUAGCAGUAUUUCCAAAAACUGAGAAACUGUUCCAUAUUGCUUGCACAACAUUAGAUGUGGAUCUGGUCUGCAUAAAUGUAACAGAAAAGCUGCCAUUCUACUUCCGAAGGCCCCCUGUGAAUAUGGCAAUAGAUCGAGGCAUUUACUUUGAACUUCUUUACACGCCUGCCAUCAAAGACUCUACAAUGAGAAGAUACACAAUUUCAAAUGCCAUCAGCCUGAUGCAGAUCUGCAAAGGAAAGAACAUAGUUGUAUCUAGUGCAGCUGAAAGGCCUCUGGAGCUCCGAGGUCCUUAUGAUGUGGCUAAUCUAGGUUUGCUGUUUGGCCUGUCAGAAGGCGAAGCAAAGGCAGCUGUAUCCACCAACUGCAGAGCAGCCAUGCUGCAUGGAGAAACUCGAAAGAGUGCCUGUGGCGUAGUGUACACGGUGAAGAAGCCUCGCCAGGUUGAAGAGGAAGAAACAGCAGUGCCAGCCUGCAAAAAAGCAAAGACUCAAGUUUGAGGACUGAACCAGUUGUCAGCAGAAGCCUCCAUCUCUUCUUUACGCAGUGUUGAGUCUUCCUCCAACCUCCAGCCAACCUAAUUUUUCCCUUACUACCUUGCUUAGCCUACAGAAGAAUUAUUCUUCCAGCAUUCAAGUGAGGAAAACUGUGUGCAUGAGACUGCUGAAUGGUGUUCACCACAUCUAAAAGGUCAUGCUGGGCUUCUGGCCAAGGAUAUUCCCCAGGACAUUGCUUUGGCCAGACUAUAAAGCUGGCUGACAUGGAUUGGUGAAGGAGUGUGAGAGCCUCUGGCAUAUUUGUCUAUCAGGCCACCCAAUGGAUAAUUAGGAAUUUACCUGAAUGCAGCAUCUAAAUAUCCCUCUGCUCUGCUCUCUCCCACCUGGAGUGUUGUAUCCAGCUCUGGGGUCCUCAGUGCAUGAAGAAUAUGGAGCUGUUGGAGUGUGUCCAGAAAGAGCCACAAAGCUGGUAAGAAGGAGGGAACACUUUUGUGUGGAAGUGCUGAGAGAGCUGAGGUUGUUCAGCCUGGAGAAUAGAAGGUGCUAGUGCCACCUUAUUGGGAACUUUCAGUAUUUAAAGGGACGUAUAAGAAAGAUUUCUCCAGAAUUGUCAUCACAGCCUAUUGUGAUAGGACC